rnacentral:rRNA from 1 species
CCAGACUCCUACGGGAGGCAGCAGUGGGGAAUAUUGGACAAUGGGCGCAAGCCUGAUCCAGCCAUGCCGCGUGUGUGAAGAAGGCCUUCGGGUUGUAAAGCACUUUAAGCGAGGAGGAAAGUUUAUAGGUUAAUACCCUAUAGAAUUGACGUUACUCGCAGAAUAAGCACCGGCUAACUCUGUGCCAGCAGCCGCGGUAAUACAGAGGGUGCAAGCGUUAAUCGGAAUUACUGGGCGUAAAGCGCGCGUAGGCGGUUUGUUAAGUCGGAUGUGAAAUCCCUGGGCUCAACCUAGGCAUUGCAUCCGAUACUGGCACACUAGAGUGUGGGAGAGGAAGGUAGAAUUCCAGGUGUAGCGGUGAAAUGCGUAGAGAUCUGGAGGAAUACCGAUGGCGAAGGCAGCCUUCUGGCCUAACACUGACGCUGAGGUGCGAAAGCAUGGGGAGCAAACAGGAUUAGAUACCCUGGUAGUCCAUGCCGUAAACGAUGUCAACUAGCCGUUGGGGACCUUGAGUCUUUAGUGGCGCAGCUAACGCGAUAAGUUGACCGCCUGGGGAGUACGGUCGCAAGACUAAAACUCAAAUGAAUUGACGGGGGCCCGCACAAGCGGUGGAGCAUGUGGUUUAAUUCGAUGCAACGCGAAGAACCUUACCUGGCCUUGACAUGUCUGGAAUCCUGCAGAGAUGCGGGAGUGCCUUCGGGAAUCAGAACACAGGUGCUGCAUGGCUGUCGUCAGCUCGUGUCGUGAGAUGUUGGGUUAAGUCCCGCAACGAGCGCAACCCUU